rnacentral:rRNA from 1 species
CAAUAGCGUAUAUUUAAGUUGUUGCAGUUAAAAAGCUCGUAGUUGGAUUUCGGAUGGGAUUUGCCGGUCCGUCGUUACGAUGUGCACUGGCCAGUCCUAUCUUGUUGUCGGGGACUAGCUCCUUGGAUUCACUUCCUGGGACUAGGAGAUGACGAGGUUACUUUGAGUAAAUUAGAGUGUUCAAAGCAAGCCUACGCUCUGAAUACAUUAGCAUGGAAUAACACGAUAGGACUCUGGCUUAUCUUGUUGGUCUGUGAGACCAGAGUAAUGAUUAAGAGGGACAGUCGGGGACAUUCGUAUUUCAUUGUCAGAGGUGAAAUUCUUGGAUUUAUGAAAGACGAACUUCUGCGAAAGCAUUUGUCAAGGAUGUUUNCAUUAA